GUCACCUAGCAAGACAGAUGAAAGACAAAAGUUGGGAAGCAUUGGCUGCUCAAUUUUAUGAUAGGCAGCUAGGGUACUCGCUGAAUAGUUUCACUGAUUAAGUGUUUAGUGGAAGAAUUUCUUGUGACAAUAGGCUGCAUGGUUUGAUACAAAUACUGUCAGUGUCUCCAAACUGCAUUCAUUAUUUUUAACCUUGUGAGCCUGUGGAACAGUUGUUUCCCCCUCAUUCUCCCUCUGUGAGCUAAAAAUUGCUGAACUUUUGUGUAUAUAAUUGGAUUUUAAAGAGUAGAAAGACAUCUGAAGGCCUGAGAAAUGCUCCUGAAGUACAGCAGGGCAGAGAAAAUUUCUAAAAGAUUUUAAAAAUGCAGUAAUUUUCCUUCCCAAUUACUACAGCAGACCAAAGUGCAUUGCUGAUGCUUUUCAGGGAGCAACAAUUUGUCAGGAACAAUGUUAGAAGUUCAAAUAUACAUUAUGUUAGAUUUAUUUGAAAAUAUUUCCAUUUAAAGCUUAUAACACUUGACUUUGCUGCAGAGAGCAAAUAUUAAUUAAAAAAUUUGUUCACUGUUGGUGCUCUGUGUAUGUAAGGUGUCUACUAUGCCCAUAAAUAAAAAAUCCAGAACUGAGGAAUCAAAGGUGCAGCAUAUCUUGCUGAAAGCAACAGGCUCAUUGCCAAACUGAAAAUUACUCAUCCAAGGAAGGCAUGAAUAUGGGAUACUUAGGAAGAAAAAACUUAUCCAGCUUGAGCUUUCAAGAAGAGUUACAGAAAUUAAUCUUGAACUACUUUGAUAAUAGAUAACUCUGGAAGAUUGUUUAUUAAAGGCACACAAUGAAAUAAGGUUGUUGGGUUUCUGUUGUUUUGGUUUUUAAUGAACUGCAGAACAUUUUUCAGUGUAACGGUAGUAUUUCAUGCUUGGAAAAAUACUAAUUAUACCCUAAAUGCAGUUAGUGUGUAAAAUGGGUGGGUAAUAUGCAGUUAGUGUGUAAAAUGGGUGGGUAAUAUGCAGGUAUGAUUUCCAGGAAAAACAAGCAGAUUAUGCUAGUAAAUGUUAUCUCCUUUCUAUUGUUGAUUUGAAUCAUAUAAGCAUGGAAAUACUGAUAGAAAGGAACUACUGGAGGUUACUUAGUCCAACUUGCUGUUUGAAGCGUGAUUGUUGCUGUCAAUUUGUAGACUUUUAUAACUUUCUAUGGAAUGUAAGUGUUAGGUGAGAUUAUGAGCACAGUAAACAUUUCUCUGUUUUGUCUACUGCAAAAUAAAUGCAACAACUAGAGUUAUAUGUGUACCUAUGAAUGGGUUCUUGAGUUUGAUUGUCCAGGAAAUGGACAAUCUUGGCUUGACUCACUAUACGAAAUUAAGAAAACUGUCUGCAUCUAAGACUAAUUAUUCUAAACCAGACAGUUACAGAGCAGAUCAUACACAAGCAAAGUGUGUUAUGUGAGGAAAUGCAAGAAUAUGGCAGAUGGCAGUUUUGAAGGCUCCCAUGGGAAGCAUAUCUGUGAAGUCGAGUCCCUCUGUGUGCAAAGAUGAACGUUUAUAUGACUUCUAAACUCCUCCUAGACAGCAGCAAACAUCAUCACAGCUUUGAUUUCAUUCCCAGAACUACUAAUCUCCCACAUCAGUAUUUCCUGGAACAGGACCACAGUGCUGAAAAGCUGACUGGCUCUUGCUGUAGGCAAUAAGUCAUGGAAAAUGUAAAGCAGAGUGUAAAUAUACCUGCACAUGUGGGCAUAGGAGUGGGAUGUGGGCACCCUCUUGUCUCCACGAAAAGGUAGUAUGUCAGUAGAUUCAUGCUUAUCCCUAUUCAAAAAGAUUUUCAAUAUUAUUUAUCAAUUUACAUGACUCCUUAAAACCAUGGUACAAUAGUUAAUUCCUAAAUUACUGUGAAAUUCCUAUGGAAGUACAUAUUACAGCCACAUUAAUAACACAUUAGCUCAUCAUGAUUAAUGUUACUGCAAUAAAUGAAUUAAUAAUGAUUUGCCUCUUUACCAAGCUUUUUUUUUUUUUACCUUGACAUGAAGAGGAUCCAUGGCAUUGAUUAUCACAAAUAUAAUGGAUUGAUUCAUCAUUUAUGGGAAAAGGAACUGCUCUUCCCAUAAAACUUGUUCUUUUAUUGCUUUUUGUCCCCCUCCUUUCCUCAGUAGAUGUAUUAUCUUUGGCAGGAAUUCAAACCAUCUAUAGAUCAUUUGUAAGAGUCAAUUCAGCUUCAAGUACUGUGACUUGAAUGCUAGCUGUGAGACAAUGAGUGGAACUCAGGCAAAUGGGUCGUCACAGAUAAAGUCUGUCAGGAAAGAAGAUCGUUCUCCUGGAUAAUGAAGGUUAGGCAUUAAUGGAUGCCUCUGUACAGUGAGAUUAGGUGUUGUUGCAGCUAUUUUAUUUUGGGUAAAGUUGAUUUACCAGUGUAUGUUGUGAUAUUUAUAUAUUCAAAAGUAUCAUGAUGAUAUACAAUGCUUCUGUUUUGCCAAGCAGAAGAAGGCUUAUGUCCUUACUAAAAUGGGAAGAUAUUGAAAUUAAUCUUUAGAUAGCUUCUGUGUUCUCCUUAGCAGAGGUUAUUAGUGUCUUCAUGCUGUGUACGUGAUCACAUAAGAUGAGGGCUGUUCUGAAAGUAAUGCCUUUUUCUUGCUCCAAUUAUAGGAGGAAGAGAAAGUUUUUUGAUACGUAUGUGUACUUGAUGGUGAGAUUAAGACACAACAGGUCAAAUGUUAGCCCAAUCAGUUUAUUACAAAUCCUAAUUGCUUAGGGAGAUGGGGAAGGGAAGAUGGGUGAUAGCAAAGAUAUUGGAAAUAAAAACAAGAACUCUUUGUAGAAAGCAGGAGAGAUAGUCACCCCCAUGGGUCCAGUGUGGUUCCUAGUGCAUCUGUUGAUCCCAGAAAUUCAUGUGGUCACCAUGAGGGAUGGGAGAAAGACAGGAAGCUUUGCACCAUAGAAACAAGCAAGCCCCUGGGUGUUCUUUCCUAAGAGGUUUUUUUCUCUUAUGGAAUGCCUCUGCCAAAGGCCUUUUUUUUUUCUUUGGGAGUACUUCUCCUCCAGAGAGCUUAGUUUAGUGGGGAUCUUUUAUCUCCCUGCUUUUCUGUUUCUUUCUUUUUCUUCUUUUCUCUCCAUUAGUGUGACACACCUGGCCCAAUAGAUAAGCCAGUAGGGAGUGGUGCCUUUGUUGCCAUGCAUGAGCAUUUCUGCCUUUUGCAGUGGUCACCUCCUUCAAGCCACACCCCCGAAAAAGACUGCUUGUUAUUCUUCUGUUUAUCCUUACAAUCAUAAGCAGAAGUAUUGUGACACAGUGACAACCACCUCUUGCCCCUGUAGAUAGUUCACAGAAGUCAGUUUAGAGUCUUAUCACCAAAAAGCCCUCACGAAGCAAACUUUGAGCAAAAAAAACAACAACAAAAAAAAAAAAAAACCCAAAAAACCAACCAACAGUUUUGUCUUUCACAGCCUUCUAUUUUAUUAUGUUGGCCCACAAUGUCAGAGGCAGAUGUUGGUGAUAUGGCAGUAGAGGUUGACCAUUAUCACCAAUAUUCCUUUGCAGUUUGUUUCCAUGAGACAGAUGGCAGCAGAGGGGCAGUCUGUCAAAAUGGUGUCUGACAUGGAAGUGUGUAUAAAGCAAAGGUCUGUCACUGAAUUCCACCAUGAGAAAAAAGUGGCACCCAUCCAUCAAUGCUUGCUGAAGGUUUGUGGUGACCACACAGUGGAUGUGAGCACAGUGAGGCAGUGGGUCGUGUGUUUCAAUAGUGGUGACAGUGACAAUGACCUCCACUGGUGCAGAUUUUUAUGAGCAGGAUAGGCUAGCAAAAAUACAUAGUUAGCGGUGGUAACUGUGUUGAAAAAUGUUUUGUAGCUGAGAAUUGGCUCUGUCAAGCAUUGUCUUUGUCUCUGUUGUACUUUCCAUGGAAAUAAAUAUGUGGUUCUACUUUUGGAGUGACCUACAUAUUAAAAGACUCAAUUGUUAGUAUGCACUUAGACUCAUUUUCAUCACAGUAUUUUAUGGCUAUUUAAAAAGUGAUAAUUGUGCUUUUAUAUAUAUAUAUAUAUAUAAAACACUAAGAAACAGAAUAGAUUACUCAGUAUUUUGGUCUUCCUUUUACACCUUCAGUCUUUCAAGGACAUAGUAGCUAAAACAAAGUUGCAAGAGCAUAAUGGAACUCAAAACAAUGAGGAAAAUAUAGCACAAGAAUGUGGGGUUAUGCAUAAAUAAGGUCUUACUCCUUAUAUAAAGAAAUACAUCUUUCCAAUCUCUGUCCUUAUUAUGCAAAUGAUCUUUCACUCCUUUUUUAAAUACAAAAUAAACUGUUCAGUUCUCAGAGAUCAUGCCAAUAGAUACAAUUAAAACUUCCAGGUAAGUAAAGUCAGAAAUACAGGACAGCUAUUCACAAAGGCAUCCAUCUGCUCACUCCAAUGUCCUACUUCUUUAAGUGUGCAUGGUAGAGAGUCAAAUUUUCCCUGCUGGUACAUACUGUGACAUUGGAACUUAAUCAACAUUAUACUUAAAAUACACAUUUAAAUGAUCAGCUGCUUUUAGUCUCUUCCUACUCUUACUUUUAUACUAUAAUUCUUCCUCAAAAUGAGAUGAUACUUUCAUUGGAGAAAACAUCUCAGUGAGAAAAAAUUGUAAAUAUACUGAUACCUUCAUAUGAAACAUUAAUUCAACCAAAAAAAAAUAUUAAAAAAAUACAGCUUUCCAAAGUAUUGAUUUUGUAUAAUGUAAAGUUCUCUCGCUAUUACUCAAGAUUUUCUCUCCUGAAUUCUACUGCAUGCUGAUAAAAAUUCUAAGUAUGAUCUAUCAAUGGAUGCCAUCCAUGUCUUGAUGUUUUGCUUUGCAUAUAAAUUCUGAUUUUGUCCACCUUUCUCAGUCUUUCUGAUUUAUAUGGGGAAUCUUUUAAAAUACUUUGCAGGUAUGCAAAAAAGAAAUAUUCUCAGCAUCAUAAAUUCAAAAGGAGACUGCCUGUGAGAUUUCCCCAUCUCCAAAGAUGAAAAAUAAAAAUAAAAUAUGACUAGAGUACAUUGGGUUUUCCAUAUUGUUUCCAAAAGUCAGAAAACCAUAUGUUUAACCACACUGUAAAUGAACAUUUCUCUGAUGGAGUGAGUCAUAUAAAGGUCACUUCCACCUUGAACUGAGAGCUUAGGAAUUCACUGAAAGCCUAUAUAUUAAUAGUAAAACAAAACAUGAAUUUUCUUUGAAGAUCCAUUCUGACUUUCAAGAUCUGAAUCUAGAGAUUGUUAUUACAUACUCUGCUAUUAUAAAUUCUAGUCACUUCACACCUGUAGACAAAAAUGUAUUUUUUAAUUAUUUUUAAAUAAUUUUGGAAUAACCAUUUAGUAUGAAUUAUUUCAGUCAGCAGCUGAAUUCUUUUAAUACCGUUGGAAGUAAGAUAACAUAUUUUUCUCUAGUGUUUCUUUAAAUCUCUGAGAAAUGUUCGUUUAAUCAAGGUCUCAAGAAAGAAGCUCAUGUAGUUGUCUCAGUUAUAUGCAUGUAAGUACAGAUUCACAUCUAUGGCUGCGGCUACACAUUCAUAUAACUCACAUACUGAGGGCUUCUCUAACUAACCCACUCCUAAAAUUUCUUCUCCACAAAUAUUGCACAAUUAUUUUAGAUAACUGAACAGUUCAUAAGCUGAAUCUUCAGGAUGAGUACCUAAAUGGAUCAGACACAUUUAUAGUGGCUGGAGGGAGAAAUAUUAAAGCUUUACAACUUAUAUCUCCCCCAAAUCCUAUAGUGUAAAAAUAACUGAAGUGCAGUUGACCCUUCUGAAAGGGAUGUUAGAAAAGUGGUAGAAACAUACUACCGCUGUCUGAGUGGUAGUUUUUUUUAGUAAAGCACAUUAGCCACAUUUCCGAUGAAAAGGUUUGGACUAUCCCUUCAGAAGUCUCAGUAAGAGUAUACUUAGUCAUUAACUAUGCUUUUUUAAAAGCCAAAUGCUUCUUGCCUAGAAUCUCAUCAAAUUUCAAAAUCAAUUAAACUCAUUAAAACAUCUUAGGGUAUUUUCUUAAUUUUUCCCUUAACACAGUAAUAGCUUAGAUGCUGCUCUGUUUUAUAAACAUUUUCAGUUGGAUUAUUUAGUUUCCUUAGCUGAAAGAAAUGAGUGUGAACCAUCUUUUCCUCAAAAUAGUACUAUAUGAAGACAUUUGUUUUGUUUUUCUCCAGUAGUUAUUUACCAAGCCAUAGAUAUGACAAAGCUACAGAAAUAUGUCAGCUUAUUCUAUGUAUCAGCCUACUGCAUUGUUUAUAGUAAAGUCUUUUCCUGUGUCUUAGUACAACCCCAGACAUCAAAUAUGCAUUAUGUUUAGAAUUACAGUCAACGCUGCUGAAUAUUCAUGUUGUCCUAUCAACCACAAGUCUGAACUUCUUUUGUCACUGAGAGUGAAUGCAACUGCUAUAUUAACUGUAGAAUCUACUCCAUCUAAUCUACAAAUAUCUUUGAGCAAGUUCUGACCUCUGUCUGAGAAAAUACAGGGACAAUAAAUGACUACAAAUAUACAGCAAAAGCCCAUAGCUACAAAGGAAUGUAUUGUUGAUGUAUCCUUGAAGUAAGAUAUCUGCAGGGCAGAACAUAAUAGGAAGCUACAAGUAUAGUGAUCUACAAAACAGCACAUCCAAUCCAAAAAGUUCAAUAUCUCUUUGCAGUAUGUAGCUUGAACAACUUUUGUACAUCAGCUUGCUUUGUUGACAUCUUAUAAGCUGAUUGCUCAGGAAAUGUGGGUCCAUGAUGAGUAAAAUGUCAGUUUCUUUAUGGGGAUAGUCAAGUGCAGAUUCCUCUGCAAAAGAAAGGAAAAAUGUGCAGGCAAUAGCCUAGAAUGUAACAUUUCCUGACGGAAGAGUUUUUUGAAAUCUUCUGAUCUCUCAAAAGUAGACAAUAUCACAAGUGCCAAAUGCAAAUAACAAUAUUCUUAUGUUACUUUGUCUGUAUCAUUCGACCUAAAUUCAUUCUUACAUGAUUCUUUUCAGAUUUGCUCUUUUAUUUCACUUUUUUUUACUCUUUUAUUUCUUUUUAUUAGUUCAUUUCCCAGAAUAUAAUAGAUAUUUUGUAAUAUAUGAAAGCAUACUUUUCUAUAUUUUUGAUUGAGGGAUUUCUUAAUUUUUCAGGAUGAGAAUUAAAGAAAAAAAUCCUUUAUCUUUGAUUUUAUUUAUUAUGCAAACCUGACAACCUAUUUUGGAUUUCCAACAAAUCCGGAAUUUUAAAUCAUAUUUCUCCACACAUGGCAUUAAUUUAACUUUGUCUUGCCUUCCUGCAACACAGCAACAGAUGUUGAAAAUUUCUGCUUUCUAAUACACCUCUGAUCUCAUGAAGAUUCUUUUCAGGAAUAGGCAAUAGGCAGAAAUAUGUUUUUAAGCUUCAGCUCAUUUAUAGAAUUGUCUCUGAUGAAUUUUUUUUUUUCUCCCCCCCCCCCCAACAAAAUGGGUUUCAUUCCUUUUUCAAAUAUUUAUUUUCUAAAUUUGAAGAGAAUUUGCAUUGAAAAAAAAAUAAUGCUUAAAAGUCAUCUUUUUUGUUCAUGCAAUUAAACAAGACAUGGGACUUGAAUGCUGACCUAUAUUCAUCAGUUCAAUUGCUACAGUGUAUUUUAACUUCUUACAGAUGUACUCUUGAAAUGGUUAACCUUUACUGUCUAUCUUCACUAAUAUGACCUUAUCUCUUCAGAUUCUGAUUUUUAAGGUGGAUAUUUAAAAAAAUUGGUGAAAGGUUGUAUUUUCUUAUACAUUUGGGACAAUUUCAAAGGAGGUAUUUGCCAGGUCUCAUCAGUAUGAGUGGACUGAUUUGUUUGGUGUCACCAAGUCAAAAUAACUGUAAUCCAUCUGAAUCACUCAGAUGAGACCUUCAUACAGCUGCGUUAUAUUGGGUGUAGCACUACAAAAUAGCUGGAAUUUAUUGUUGACUCUGACCUCCUAUUUAUUAAUAAUUUAUGUGGUACAAGGCAUAUGUUAUAUGGGUGUGUAACAGCAAAUAGAUAUAUAUGCAGAAACUUGCAUGCAAGUGCUAUAUGAAUUAUCUGUUAUGGGUAAAAAAAAUAAGAGAUUCACUAUGUUAUUGACUAACUUGAAUUAAUAACACCAGGGAAGAGAGCCCAGCCCCCCCAUAAUCACACAUUUUCUCAUGUUUUGUUUUGUUCAGCAACCAUUUUCUUCUUAGUCUAUUUUAUUCUGUGUUGCUUGCUCAGAAUAUGAGAGUAUCCUAUUCAUUUCCCUGAAAACACAAGCAAAAACAAUAGAGAAGAAAAUCAUCUCUUUCUGAGGGCUUUGCAAAUGAACUACAGUUUUUUGUUUUGUUUUGUUUAUUUGCUCUUUGUAUGUGUGUCAGAUACAAUUGGUGAUGUCAGACAUAGCCUCCAUUAUGUAUUAUUGCUCAAGUGAGCUUUGCUCAUAUUAAAUUUCAUUAUCUUCAGGAAACACUAAGUAGAUAACAUGCAUAAAGAUCUGGAAGACUUGUUUAUCUAUUUGGUAUGUCAUACAGUACAUCGCAAGUAGGUGUUGUGACUCUAAAAUGAGUUUUCAUAGUGUCUGGAUGUAGUGGAUGUAGUUACACUAACUUCCAAAAUCUUUUUCAUAUAUAUGUUUUUAAACUAAUCAAAGAUAUAAAGAGGACACAAUUGUUAGGUUUGGGGACCUAAGCUUAGGUAUUUGGAGGAGGUUGGUCUUCACUCUCUCUGCUUGCGAACAUUUUUCCCAUUUGCCAAGAAUAGAAGUGCUGCUUGGGUAUCGGAGGUCUGCUCUGUUAAAAUUUAUACUACUAACUGGUAAUACUGCUUCUCCAUGAAGAAAAACAAAGCCCCAAACAAACAAAGACACCCUCAACCCAAUUUUCAAGCCUAACAUAAAUCUAAUGUUAGAAAGAGACACUUCUUGCCUAUAGGCUUUUUGAAUGACUCCUGAGCAUUACAUUGCUCUUUUUACAAGGAGCUGUUAAAAAGCUAUGUCAGAAGAUAAGCCAGCUUGUAGAAAGAGUAAACAUCUACAGAAUGAAUAUUUUUAAUCUGGAUUUUUUUUUUUUUUUAAUGCAAUGGAUUGUUAGCUGGCUGGCCGUUGAUGUUGUAGUUUAUGAAUUAUCUGUAAAAAAAACUUAAUAGAAGAAUUAAACAUGAUGACGGUAUCUUACCAACAUGCAUCUCAUGGGCAAUCUCUUCUGUUGCAAUCUGUUCCACUACUGCAAGGUACAGCCACAUCAAUUGUGUGUGCCACUCAUUGCAGAACAAUUUGUAUUUUUGCAUCAAUGGUGAAUAUAAACCAAGCAAAAAAAUCUCAUAUCUCAAACGUUAAAAAAAAGUCUAUUUUUUACUAUUUCCUAUUCUAGUUUUCAAUUGAAAAUAAUGACUUUUUAAACUUUAUAAAAAAAUGAGAUGCUUAAAAAUUUGAUUAACAUUUCUACUACAGAUGUUCUUGGUUUUUUUUUGUACUUGUGAAGGCUUGAGAUAGAACUGACUCCUGUCACAUCCAGUGAAUAGUAUGCUAACGUGAGAACUGUGCUCAUCUGAAAACACCGAAUUAGUACUGUCCAUUUAAAUAGGAAAUAACAGGGAGACAGAAAAUAGGGAAAACUAGCCCAGGGUAUUGAGUGGGAAGGAUUGCAUUGGGUUUAGCUAGACAAACAUGUUUUUUGUUCUAUUUCUUUAAAACAGAUAUGAUAUUCAGAGGCCAUUUUCUUUAGGAAGGGAUUUAAUCCAUGUAAGACUGAAGACUUAUUUGAUUAUCUUAUUCAGACAUUUUCACUGACUUUAUAUUAUUGAAACAACAUUAGUGGCCAUGUUUGUACUAACAGAUAAAACAUUAUGGGGGUAUAUUCCCCUUUUGUUUAAGUAGUAUCUCCUACACUGGUAUGAUAUUUUACUUUUCCAUACCUCCCAGACAACAGCAGCUCUUGCUUUGGGGAACUGUACGUGCAACUGUCCAUCUCUGGCAGGUUGUUUUGAUGUAAACACUCCAGUUUGAAGGGUAAAUUUAUGUGAUGGUUUAGUAAAUGAAAUCUAUCACUUAGCAUUGGGUUCUACGAACAUUUCCUAGUUGGUUGGGUCUAAGAAUAUUUCUUAAUUGGUUUUAUUUGGCAGUAGAGUGACUAGAGAGGCAUAUUUAGAAACUCAUCAGAGGAAGCUGUGCUGGAAAAACUUCCUCUCCAGCCACUCUUACCCUGGCCUGUAAGUCACAGAAAGAAAGAAACUACUGCAUGAUGAUUCUGAGAUAUCUGAGGUGAGUAAGAGCAGAGAACAUAGUAUAGUAUCUGAGAAAAGAAUAAUGUGUGAUUUAUUUAUUUAUUUAUUUUUCUUUUCAUUAUUUCCUUGGCAUCUUUCAGGUGGAAUGGAUAGAUUUCCUAGAACUACAACUUAUUCUCAACUGAAAUUUACCUGGUGUAGGGCUAAGUAUUAUUAAAUGCAGAAAAGAUGUUUAGUUAUAGGACUUGAAAAAUAGCUUUUUUCUUUACACUGAAAUAAUUAUUUUCUCCACCUAAUUUACAUGAUACUGGGACAGAAAGAAAGACAGUGGCAGCUGUAAAAGUAAAUUUCAUAUAUGAUUCUUUCAAGAAAGAUUAAUUAGCUGAACUGGUGUUUUACAAUUUUGUUUUUGUCUGCCAUUAAAAUAAUUAUUUCCUUUUUUUUUUUCUAUUUUAUUUUUUCAACAAAGCAAGGUGAUAGCAGAGAGGUAAAGUAUAAGAAUGAAAAGUAAAAUCUAAGAAUUCUUCAGCCAUUUUUAAAGAAAAAUAUUGCAAAAUUAAAGGACUUAAAAUUCAUUUUCAAAUAGUUUUCCACAUAUUUUUGUGAAAUGGGUUUUUUUCUUAAUUAUUUGGAAAACAAUAUUUCAUUGUAGUAAACUAAUUACAAUAAUUUCUUUUCAAUCUUGAUAGCAAUCUUCAGAAAAUAAUCUGAAAGGUAUACUCUUGAUGACAAGUGAGACUGAUCUUUCAUGAUUGAAUGAUAUCUCUUCUGUUUAAAUAUUGUAAGAAUUUUUUAUCUCACUGGGCAGUAAAUACAAAUCUUGGAGGACAGUGUUCAACUUGCUUCUGUUUUCAGAUGCGCAGUGAAUUGAGUAGCAGCAUUCAGAACCCAGGAAUUGUGCUCUGCCCCUAAAGAAUCAUUGAGGCUGUGUUUAAUGAAUGUCGGGCUGGGUUGAGGGGAAUCAUAGCUGAUCAAGAAGGCAGAUAUCUUGGUUAGGAAGAGCUCAUGCUCUAACUCUGAGAUUUCCCAUCACUAAAAAUCCUUAACAAUGAAUUAAUUAAACAAUAAUACCAGGGUGAUGAUUUUAACUAUUACUUCACCUGCCUCCAAAGCCAAUAAAGGAGAAGUCCUACUUACAAGGUUUACAUGCUGGUGUGUGAAAUCUUAUUUGCCUUUAUUAAUAAGUGCUUAAGGUUAAUUUCUUGUCAGGGAUCAUAAUUUUAUCUAUUCUUUGUGGAUAAAAGCACAUAACCCAGUGCUUUCAGGCUUACAUUUAAAGGCCAAAAAACUUCAACAAUGGAAGGGUGUCUACUUCUAUGUUAUUGAUAGAAUACUUUGAUUAGUUCACCGAAAGAAGUGUGUUUUAAUAAUCUAUAUCAUUGCUGAACAAGUGAGAAUUAAAUUUUAGUGUAAAGAGACAUCUGUUCUAAUAUGUACUGUGGCAAAAUAGUUACUGGAUUGAAUGAACAAAUUUGAUCAUCUGGAACUUCUAGGAAAGAUUUCCCGUUGAUUAACCCAGAGACCUUACUUUCACUUAUUGGUGUUGUAUAGAUUGACCAAAAUCCCAGCUAAUGUUGGGUAUUAAAGCCUAUAAUUGAAAGUUAAGUGGAAGAUGAAGGACCCUAAUCACAAACAGAAGACAUUGUUCCUGGUAUUGCCUUAGUAACUGAGUCUGAUCAUUUAAUUCAAAUCAUGAUGUCAGCAGCAAGCCUCAUCUUCCUCUCCCCAAACUUCUAUCCAGUGACACUUCUGCACUGCAUUUUAUUAGCUUUCUGAGGCUUUUAAUCUGUUCCUCAGGUUGAAAAGGUGACCUUAGUACUAAUCACUGUUAAUUACAUGUGUUGUUUGUUUUUUUUAAUUGCCAAGGAAACAUAAAUAGCAAAAUAUGUGGCAUGUUAAUGCAUCCCUUUGCAAUCCAGAACAAUAAGACCCUAAUGUGUCAUACAAAUUUAAAGUGAGAUUGCUGGGUAAUUGGGUACAUAUGGUGAUCCUAAAAGAAAAGGUUACUAUGGAGAAUAAUUAAAAAGGCCUUUUAAAAAUUAUUUUUGCUGCUUAGAUAUUAGUUUUAGAUGUAAGGAGGGAUUUACUUUUCCUUGCCAGAUGUAUUGUCAUUUUAUACUCUGCAAAUUUGUGGUUUUAGGAGGCUAUCAUUAAAAUAAGUCUUGAUUUCAGAAAGAAAGCAUCAGCAUUUAUAAGACUGUCCUGUCCAUAUCUGCAUCCCUUUCCUCUGUGAAUGUUCUGUGAAAGAAAAAGGAAGGCAAUUAAAACAAACCAAAAGUCAGCUCUUAGAUUAGAGCUGCAUAUCUUUUGUACUGCUUUGAGAAUAAAAGAAUAGUUAAGUGACCUUUUCUUUAGUACCCAGUUUCAUCCUACCAGAUGAAGAGCACAACUGCAGGUCAUACCAGCUAAGGACUGUAUCACCUUCUGGAACUGUGCUGUCCCCUGCACUCUCAGUAACAGAUGCCUAUGUUUUUAUGUGAGUGAUUGCAUUGACAGUUAAGAGAGGUGAAUUUAGGCCUCACUUCUCCAUUUUUUUCAUCUGUUAGUGAUAACUUGAAAUACAGCGUUGUUUGAUGCUUUAUUAAUGCACAAGAUGUAUGAAAAUCUCCAUUAAAAAGUGCUAAAAAGUGUUAUUCAUAAUUAUGGUUACUGAGACAAAUACUGAUAUGAUAGUGUGAAACAAGUAAACAGUAUUUUAAUCCAGACAAAGCCCAGUAACAUUAUUACAGCUGGAUGCGGUCUGGAAUUGGUAGAAUUUAGACACUGGGAAUGACCUUUUCAACCCAGGGGCCAGAACUUCUUUAACAUGUCAAGUGUGCUUUCAGAGGAAAUCCUGGAUAUCAUGAGAAGUCCCAACUUGAAGAACUGAAUAUCUUGUACUCAGUUUCAUUCUCAAUUUUUUCAUGUUCCAUUUUUCAUAACGAAUAACAUGUAGAGGAUUAUAGAGGGCAGCUGAGCUGUGGCAUAAAGGUGAGCAGGUUCACACUGAGGUGGAAUGAUGUUGCUCUUUGUCAUGCUCUUUAGGAAAUGACUGAAUGGGGAAUAAGUAAGCAGGUAUAUCUUCUUUUGAACCAUUGACAAAAAGGCAAAAAAAAAAUUAUUUCCUUUCCCAAGUAGGAGGUCAUAUUCAUGUGUUUAUGUAUCCUUCAUAUUGUCAAUGAGAUGAUAGUGGGGGAAGUCUAUUUUGAUUUGUCUUUCCCAAACUCAGUGAAAUUUUACAACAUAGUAUAGAGAUCUAGGACACUCAGACCAAGAUUGAAUGUCCUUGAUUUUCAGUCAGAUAUAAGUAAGCUUUUGAAGAUAUAUGUGAACUGCAAACUAGUUCAACUAGUCCUUUGUCCUAAAUGUAUUCUGAUAAGUCUGGAGAAAGUUUUAUUGAGUUUUAAAAUGAAGUGGAAGUUUGAACAAGGAGAAUGCAUCCUCAUUUGAAUUUGAAAGUAUCAAAGAAGUAGACCAUAGAAAUAUCUACAUACCCACAAGCAGCCACAUAAGAAUCUGUAUGUACUAGUAGAAUACUUAUUUCCAAGAAUUCUUCCCUCAAAUGUAGACAUUUUUAGAACAGAAAUGAAUCAAAGAAAGCUGGACUGUCAGAACCAAAGUCCUUUUUCAGUUACCAGUGCCAAGGGAUAUGUUAUGGGUGAACUUGUUAAGCAGCAUAUAAAUAACAGUAUUUUUUCUGGCUUUCUUUCUCAUGUGAGAUCACGAGCUCUUCGUAAGAGUUACUAAACAGAUGGAGCUCCAUUAACAUGGAACAGGCCCUGUGAGCUAGUUGUGUUUUAAUUAGAUUUACACAACUUUCAUGUUAGAGAGAGUAGCCUCUAAUACUGCCCAAAGAAACCUGAGGACCAUCAAAAGUAUUUCACAAGUAAUUAAUUUCUAAUGUUAAAUUUUAUUAGAUAAGUAACAAUGCUUCAUAAAAUAAAACAGCUUCAUAGAAAAGGUAAACAGAACCUUUCACUGGAAUUAGUUUUCAAGCAAUUUCCUGAGCUUGAUCUUUACAAAAAUUGGAAACAAAACAUCACAUUGGGUGGAAGCAACUGAAGUUUCCAGUUCUCGUUUUCUUUUCUUUUCUUUCUUUUUUUUUUUUUUUUUUUUUUUAACACUCUCUAAUCUUUUGUUGUUGCUGUUACUGUUGUUGCAACUUGUAUCAAAAAUACUUUCUUCAUAAUGAGUGCAAUGUUUCAUUUAUUAUCCUUCAGCUGUAAUUCUUUUCUGAAAUUGUCAUCAUAUUUGAGAGUUGAAGAGAGCACCACUCAUACUUAAUAAUAAACUGACUUUCUAGGGUAAAUAUUACUGACAUCUUACAACACAUUAUAUUCUUUACAGCUGCUAGCUGGCCAAGAAUUUUUUACAGCUGCAUUGUCUGUCUGGCAAAGAGACAAAAAUUAUAUUUCAUUUUCAAUAAGUACCUCAUUUUUCUCUCUACGUCCACAUCAUAUCCUCUGUUUAGGAAAGAGUAAUGACUGAAUGGCUUGAAGUGUCUUUAGCUUCAUUUACAUUACAUGCAAAAUCCUAUGAUAUGGGUUCAAGUAAGAUAAAUAAUUAAUUGACUCUCUGUAACCAGUGAAACAAUUAGCACAUAUCGCAUCAUAAAUAACACAUGUACAUUCACAAAGUAUUGUCAUGGUUCCCUUAAUUCCUAAAUAAAUUAAUUUUGAAAAUUUUGAAAAUCUUUUAUUGUGUAUCAAAAAUUGAAAGAUUUCUCAAUGGAUUACCAACCUAUCCGAGCAACCACAUUUUAAUAGUCAUAUACGUACAUAUAUAUGCAUAUAUAUAUAAUUUUUUUCUGCAAAUCUAACAUAUAAGACAUUCAUAGAUAGGCACAUGACACUGAAAUUGUCUAGCAUUCUCUUGCAUGUUUUCUUGUAAGUAUAUUUCAACAAGAACAUUUAAUGUCAUACCCUUUGGAAAAGACUGAUGUAAAGUAGGCUUAUUAACUCCAACAGCAAAUGAAGUUAUUCACAGUAACGAACUUCUUCACUCUUCACUAACCUGAAGAAAGAAAAAUUUUAGAAUAAGGCCCCAAAUAAUUGGCAGUUAAUGAGAAUAUGAGAUCUUUCCACAGCUGAAGAGAAAGUAAGUUCCCUAAGAAAGAAGACUGAGAUACAGAGCAGGACAGAGCAGGACAGUGGAAGGUUCAUCAUAAACUUAAAAGACUUCAAAUAAAUUAACCCUUGUGGAAAGGUUAGAUUUUAAUAGAUUAUCAUCAGAAAUCUCGCGUGUAAGGUAAGGUAGAAAAAGAAUGGUGCUUUCUAACACAAUCAGUUCAGAUUAGUCUGGAAGUGAAAUUUUGAAAGUUCCUAAAUUGUCAUUGCAGUAACUAGAUGAAUGUACUUCAAGUAAGGUUCAAGUUGGAUGUUAGGGAAAAUUCUCAGAAAGGGUGAUAAGACAUUGGAAUAAGCUGCCCAAGGAUGUGGUGGAGUCACCAUCCCUAGAGGUGUUCAAGAAAUGUGUAGAUAUGGCACUAAAGGACAUGGUUUAGUGUGCAUGGUAUUCUAUAUGGUAGAUAUUGCUUUUCAAGUUCACUAUGCUGAACUACUGUUAGUCAUAGGGAACCUUUAAAACCUAUUGCAGUUUCAAAGCAAUAAUUAUAAAUCACAGAAUCAUAGAAUGGCCUGGGUUGAAAAGGACCAUAAUGAUCAUCGAAUUUCAACUCCCCUGCUAUGUGCAGGGUCCCCAAUUGCUAGACCAGGCUGCCCAGAGCCACAUCCAGCCUGGCCUUGAAUGCCUCCAGGGAUGGGGCAUCCACAACCUCAUACAGUCCGCAGAUUUGUUGUGAUAUUCCUGUUCUCAGUGAUUAGUACUUUAAUAUUUCAAUGGCUUUCAUAUGACUCUACGCAACAUUUAUUAUCUUCUGUCAAGAUAAUAAAUACAGUCUUUUCCUAGAUAGGAAGCACAAAAAUAUUCUCGAAGUCAAAGUAAUGAUUGAAAAACUUUGUAUAAUUAAUGUCUUACUAAAUAGAAGUACAACCCCUUAAACACGUAAGCAACAUUCCACAUUUGAAUGGAAGGACUAAACAAUUUAUUGCCUUGUUAUGCUAUACAACAUGAUUUUUCUCAAUGAUAAGAAAGUUUGAGUUUCCAGAAAGCACUAAUUAAAUGGUGGAGCACAAUAAUGUAAUGGUUCUACAGUGAUAGGCAUCUGUGUAGCAUAUGAAUCUCAGUGGUCCUAUUUUCUAAUCUUUUGGCUGAUGCUGUCAGUCAUAUAAAGAACAUUUACAGAAUAAAAGCAGAAGAUAUAAUAAAAUAUUUUUUCUUUUCUGUAUAAACCAGACCACAAAGGAUUAUUGGCUUGUCAAAUUAUGAUAAUAUAAUCCAGAGUUUAGCAGAAAAACUGAAAGCAGAAAGUUGUUUUUGUGUCAUUAUCAACAUAAUUAUGAUUAUUAUUAUUAACAUUAUUAUUGUAUUAUUGUUAUUAUUAUUUGUGUCAUAAUUAUUAUCAUUAUUAAACUGGAUGUAUAUGUAGAAAAGCCUGGAUAUAUGACAGUAGCAAAAUAAUAUGAAUGCCAUAUAGUAUGUAUAUAUUCUGUAGAACUGCUUACACAGUUGUUUUUUCUUCUGAUUGUCACUGUCAUGACCAUGGGAGCAUCAGCAAGCAUUACUAGCCCUACUGGGUUUGAUGGAAUAGGCAUGACUUGGCAUAGUGUAGCAUGGCAUAGAAAAUCUGACCCCGGGGAAAUCCAUGCCAGACCCCACCAGUGAGCUGGGACAGGGACUGAAGGUCAAUGUCUGGCCUCAGAUGAAGCCUGUGGGCAGAACUGGGUGUAGAAUCUCUGGGUGAGGCUAGUCAGGACCAUUAAUGCUCAUUAAUGAGCACUCAGGGCCCUGUCUGUCACUUUCUCCUUCACAGUUAUGCUUCUUGACACAAAAAGGUAAACUAAUAAAGAGAUCACUGACAAGUGUUCUCUUCUUUCUUUCUCUUAUUUAAUUUCUAAAAAAUAAACGACGUUACCAGAAAUAUUAUUUAAUCUGCAACGCAAUCCAACAAUUAGGUUAAACUCAACAGGCUAAUCUUCUGAUUUCUGUACAGGUUUGUAUAACAGAGCUGCUUCUACAACAGAAUGGAAACCAAAUCCGAUCUGAUCUGUAAUGUCUGACCAGUUGGGGAAGAAGUAUGCUGAUUUCUGUCUGUCAUUUUUCUUUCAAGAAAUGAAUAAGUGAUCAUGAGGAAUCAGGUUCUCAUUAUUUCUCUCUCUUUCUCACUCUCUCUCCCCACCUUCUCUCUCUCUCUCUCUCUCUCUCUCUCUUUUUAAUAGUAAUAAAAUAUUUCAGUAUCUUUUUUUUUUUCCUUAAGGAAGUAAAUGUAUUGAUGAAUCACUUCAAACAAUGCUAAUCAACAAUGUGAGAAGUCUGCAAGAAAGGACAUUGACAGGAGAAGCUCUAUUACUAAUUUAUUUGUCUUUUUAUGGUUCAGUUAAGGGAAUAUCUUAAGGAGUAAAGCACAUGUCAGUGUUGUCAGAUGUUACAUGGUAGCUGUCAGAGUUUUGACUGAUGUACAAGGACUACCUGCUCAUGUUUGCCCUUCCUUUCUGUUGAGUGCACACAGAUAUUUCUUAAAUCUCACUUUACCUGGAAAAGCUCAACUCAUUUUGAAGACCUCUAUUCAGAAAAUAACUGCAACUAUCCAUCCAGGGAGACCAUAUUUGUCUCGCUGGGAGUCAUUUUUCACUCAAAGGAAUGUGGUUCUGCUGCAUCUCUUCAAGGAAUCAUAGGAGCCCUGCGGUUUCUAUGAACUCAGAUGUUUUCUGGAUAUCAGCUGCGAAAAUCAUGCAUUCACAAGAAUUGAAGCUGCCUGACAAUCCCUGGAGGAUUAAACUUCUAGUAAAGAAGAAAAAUGUGAAGAUCCAACCCAUAGGAAACAUUUGGUGUGAUGGAAGAGAAGGCAGUGACUACAUAUUGCAAGUCAUUGUCAUAUGAGAGAGUAUAACUGUCCUAACAAGAUAAUGUAGUUAACUGUACAGUAUCCGAUCAUGCCAAAAGAUGUGGUCAUAUGUGUUACUAAAGGAGGAAAAUUAUUUCAGGAGGUAAAUUCUUUUUUUUCCUGAUACUCUUUAAAUAAAUAACCGAAAUUCUUAAGUUUUUGGUGUGAAAAUUAAAUUAUGCCACUUUAAACUGCAGCCCAAGUAUCUUGAUAGACUUUUUCGAUUUGUAUAUAUAGAAGCAAAUCAUACAUGGAUGUUUACAAGAGCAGUACUACACUGCUAAACUCAGACAUUUGAGUGUCUGAUGAGAAGUGACUAUAUCUUGGAAUUUUCCAUUACACUUUUAGCCAAAAGAAAGUAACCUUUUGGCUCCUAAGUUCUUCCGUUUGUCCAUCAGAAAGAUCCAGGCAGAUUAAGUAAAGUCACUGGCCUAGGUAAAUUCUUUCUUUAAGACACAAUCAACAUAUCCACACAUCCUCUGGCUAAUCUUGGAAGAACACAGGGGGGAAAAAAAAAAAAUUCGAACACUUGACACACUAAGUCUGCUAGUCUGGGUAAUAGCAAGAGUCUGUACUGGAGUUUCUCCAGGAACGCUUAGACAUACUGACUGAAAGUGCCAAUGGCAGCCUGUUUCAUUUCUACACUGUAAAUGGGAGGAAUAACAACCCUUGAACAAUGAAACUUAAGCAGACAACACUGUCUCCUUAGUCUCUCCAUAGAUGAGAGCAGGGGCAGGUACAGGGCAUUCAGUAGUAGGCAAGAGAAAAUAUUACUGAAAUGAGCUGUGAUCCCUAAUUAGGAUGCAGAAUCGAAUGAAGAAUAUGGGGAUUCCCACCUUAUAUUACCUUACCUAAUUUAAGGAAACUCAGCAAGGCUCUAUGUAGCAGAAAAUAUGUCAGUAAAAUCCUUUAAAAAUGGGAUAAAAUCUCAUCUUUAAAUAGUAUGAAGAUGACUUCGUCCCCUAUUGAACACUCAAAGAUGUUACGCUGUUGUUGUCAAACAGUAAUAUAAAUGUUACACAGGCCGAGAUACUGACAUAAAAGACUUAGGUAAUAAGAGUUCUUGAAGUUGUGGAAACUCUACAGUGAUACAAAGUUUUAGAGAAUGUUUUUUAUGUGAGAGAUCCAUACCUACUCAUGUAAAUGAUGAGGACAUUUAUGAAAAUGAAGACUGAAAUGAUUCGACUUAUAGGUAGCAUACACAUACAGCGUAAAAUUAUUUUAUAUUACUUAAAAAAUACAAAGAUCAAGGUAAGGAAAAAAAAAAAGAAAACCUGAAUUUCCCUUUAUUUCACAAAUAGUUUAAAUCCAGGGUCUUUCUUUCCUUCAGCUGUACGAUGAUGGCCAUUAGUUGAUGACAUACUGCAAAUGUAUGUCAUAUUGUUUCAGACCAAUACUCUGGCUUACAAAAGGCCCUGUAAUUAUUCAAAGAAAAUGCUUAUAAAUAUGAACAUUUCAUAUUAGCCUUCCUUAAAGGCUUUGUGAUAUGACUUGUCAGUUAAAGAAGAGGAAAAUAUCAAAGCAUGUUUCCAAAAUAAAAUUUGUAUCCAGCAAGAGGCAACAGAGUAAAAUAAAAAUGUUCAAAAAAUCAAAUCAGAGCAUUGAAUUAAAGCUGUGGUCCUGUUACAUCUAAUGACUGAGUACAUUAAAUGAGUAUAAAUUGGUGAUUCCUAAAAGAAAUUAACAUUUAGCUGUCCAUAUAUGAACACUAUAUGCAAACAUAAUGUUGAAUCCUUCCCCUGAUCUCUAUUGAUGAAACAAUUUUAAAAGUAUGAGAACCAGCAACAGCAAGAUUCCAAAAAAAUCCCAAACAUGGAGUAAAUGCCAUUUUCAUUUAAAAAGUAAGAAAAAUAUUGCCAUUCCUUACUUUAUAUAACCAUCUAAUCCCCAGACAGGCUCUCUGUGGUGAGUUCUUCAACAGCAUACUGGAAAAGUUAGGACCUUCGGAGUAGAACUGAACAGAUGACAUCUAAAGUUCUCUCCAGGUAGCCUCAAACAGCCAACUGAGAAGUGGAGUUCAGUGCUACUCAACUUGGCUGUCUUUUUGAGACCUAAAGGAAAGGCACUUAUCUUUUUCUUGGAAUGCACAGUCUAGAAUCUUUUUUGUGACUUUUCCAUGAUCAUUUCCAUACUAUACUCUUUUAAUUUUCAAAAAGAAAAGGUGGAAACUGUGCGUAGGUUACUCCAAAACUAAUCCCUCCUAGUUAUUUUCACAGAAACUUCAACAAAGAGCGCAAGAACACUAUUUGUUAGAGCAAAUUCUCAGCUACAAAGCACAUUCUUCAAUAUGGUCACCACCAUUAGCCAUGCAGUUUGACCAGCAAUGAACAAAAACCUGCAUGCUGUGCUUUUGAAAGACUGUACCAACAGAGAUGACCUACUGUCGCUACUACUGAAAUACACUGCUCACCAUGUCACUGUGCUCAUAUCCACUGUGUGGUCCCCAUAAACCUUCAGCAAGCAUCAGUGAAUGUCAGUUGCAAUUUUUUCCACUUGGAGGAAUUCCAUGCCACACCUUUGCUUCAUACACACUUGCAUUUCAGACACAAUUUCAUCAGAUUGCCCCUCUGCUACCAUCUAUUGCGUGGCAAAAAAGUGUGACAGUAUAUCGUCAGGAAGGUUCAACCUCUACUGCCAUACCAUCAACAUCUACCUCUGACAUAGUAAGUCAACAUAAUAAAUAGGAUGCAUUACUUUCAGAGAAGUAUUCAUAGUUUGUUUCAGUGCUAGCAGUCAGGUUAUCUAUUCAGGCCAAGAGGUAGGGUCUGGAGCAGAAGCUGCAAGCUAUUAGCCUAGGCAUCUUAAAAAGGCAGCACAUACACAUCUUUAAGUACCUAGAGGACUCUCAAGUUGCUACUGAGAUACACUUUUUGUUUUGUGAGACAUAUAUUCCUCAUUAAGUGAAAUAUACUUACUUCUAAUUUAGGUAAUAUUUAGUUCACUAAAUUCAGAAUAGAAUUUUAAUAAUCUUACAAACGAUCUUUUGUACCCUUCUACUUGUUAUUUAUGUUUAGUUGAAUAACCUCCUUGCAAGUUUAUUGGCUAGUGUAUGUUGGCAUCUCCCUAUUCACUAAUGAAGCUGAUCUUGAAAUAACUCCUUACUGGGCCAUGAAAAAUGAGAAAGCAGAAACUUGAAAGUGAAGCAGUGAGCUUUUAUUCUAUAUCUGUGAAGGAGCCCACACAUAUUCCAGACUGUAUUGUCUGGGCUGUUUACACGUUUUACAUAUUUCUUUUAAAAUCUUACUUCUUCACUGUAUUGCAGUGAUGGCAAACUAUUGGUGUAGAGGUCCACUGUUGAAGCAGAAGAGCACUGAAGUAUACAAUACGGCAUCAAGAGGAGAGUGCUCUCUUAGAGAUGUUUUUCUCCUAUUUUUUUUUUCUUUUACCCAUAUAAAUCAAUGUAAGGAAAUGUAGACAUAAACUAUUAAUGUUUACAGAUACCUCCUGACUAGUCUUAUAAAAACAGCACAUACCUCUCUGUUGCACCUGAAGGCUACUUCAGUAAAGCCAUGGUUUAGGAAGGGUUUAAGCAGUGCGCUUUAAAGGAGCUUUGCUCACACUGGUGAAGCUGUGUAUAGUGAGACUGCUUAUAUAUAACUGGGGCCUAAUUAUAGAGCUGACUAAAAGUAAUUAAUAAAAUUUAUUUUCUUUUAUAUGGCUCCAAAUAAAAAAUCUAUGAAAAGUGAUUAGGAUUGUAGUCAGAUAAUGCUGUGAUAAAUGAGUGGCUUCUCUAUCUUUGCCUGUACUUUAAAAAAUAAAUAAUAAUUUUGAUUUAAAUUAUAUAGUCAUACUCAAAACCUAGGUCACCAUAUUUCCUUUAAAAUGGUUUUUGAGGUCUUUUCUGAAAAUUGCACAGUUCUUUUUUGUUCCACCUUCUUUAUAUAGUCAACUGCAAUAUAACACAAAACGUUGUGUAUCACAGACUGUCUUCAUAUUGAUAUGGCAUACAUAUCCUUUAUUUUCUUUUGUAGUUGAUCAGUCUGUUUCUGUCUCUUAUUGUUGUUGUUGGUUUUUUUUAUGUGACACCUCUGAGAUGGUACCCAUAGCAACAUCCACUAGCACAGGUGAGUCUGUGAAGUUACUGCAGCUAUCCGCCAGUCAUUAAUCUAGCAGUAUCUAUCUAUUCAGAUCUGUACAGUUGCUCUUCUGGUCUUUCCUCUUUCCAGAAGUAACUGCUCUGUGCACAAAAAUCUGAAAAAUAACUCUUAAAGAUUUUCCAUGUAUUUAAUGGCUCUUUUUAAUCUGUUUAAGCAGUUCUUGCAGAUUAAAGUAUAGAACGAUUACUAUGCAAAUUAGUUUCCUGAAUUUUGAAAUUCAGCUUCAACAUCUCUGAGUAUUUCCAAAAUACUAAUUUUACGUAUAAAAGAGAAAAAAAAUUGAAAAUCAAAUUAAAAAAAAACAAACACAAUUUCUUAGUUUUUUAUUUUGUUUAAGAACGUAGGUCACAUUCUAUAAAACUAUCUCUGAAAUAGUUACAACAAAGUUACCUUCAUUUUUCAGUAAAAUGUGAUUUUUUUUUCUAAGAAUGAAUGAUGUGCUCUAAUUUAAUAUCUUGCACAGUUUUUAACUACUUCAGUACAAAUAAGUCCAAACUUGCUGCCAGUCCAGCAGAGGUCUUGUGCUGGCCAGCUGCACACCAUGUAAGUUUCAUCCAAAGAUUAAUCUAUGACUGAGAUUUUAAAAUGAAGUUAAAGUGGUUAUGGUCAAAAAUCCCACUGAAACAUAAGGGGAAUUCUAUCUCUAACUCCCUUAAGUGUUCCUGAAAUUACUGCUCCAAUUAUAGAGCCAAAUCCAAGAUGGAAGAAUUAUGUUUUUCUUUCUGUGGGCUACAGUUGAUACAUUUAAAUCCCAUUAAUUUAGGCCUUUGAUACUUGUCUAUGACACUUCUUAAUUGUUAGUACAAAUGUGUUUAAUUAAUAAAAAUUAUUUUGACAUUAUAUUACCUUUUUGGUGUACAUCAUAAUCCAUGAAUAACUGGAUGGAUACAAAUGUUUAGAACAAAUCAAUAAGUUUUGCAUUAUUCGUGUUCAAUUUUACCAAUUUUCAGGUGAUCAUGCACAGGCUCUUUUCACCAGUGUGGAAUGUGAUGAAGUCUUUCUGGUAAAGUGCAUGUUAGUGGUCAUUAUCUGUAGCUAUAUUCAUUGAGACCAAAAAUGCAUAUACCCAGGCAAUUCCUGAGGUUGGCUAAGGGAUUUAAACAUGCACACAACUUACCACAUAUUUCAGAAAAUCAAAUAAAUAAAAUAUGUACUUGAAUGAGGGCGCUAGUUAUUCUCCAGUGUCUUUCUCUUGUCUGGAAUGCAAUACAUAGACCUCUGUUAAAGUUAUCAAGGCUCAUCAUAAAAUUUGUGUCUUUGUGCUGACAAGUUCAUUCAGAAUGUGCAAAAUAUCCCAGCGCACCAUUUCAUAACCAGAGCUUAAAAAGAUUUUGUUCAGAUCGUAUUGCUGGACCAGUAUGAUGCCCAGCAUUUUAAGUUACUGUCUUCUCAGUUGUGGGGUAGUUUCAAAUCACAUCAGGGAAAAUCUGACUUGAUGAUUCUCCAUUCAUUUUGAUGAAUUAGUAGGAUGAGAAUGACAAACAUAUAUGUGGUAUUUGACUCAUAAGUUAUUUUAUUGUGAGGUUAACUUGUUGAAAAGGUAAGAACUAUACUUUGAUCUGUAUUUAAUCACAAUAUAUCAGACACUGGAAUUAAAAAUUCUGAUGUUCAAUUCUUCUAAAAUUAAAAAAAAAAAGUUGGAUAUGACAAAUAUCUGGUAAAAAUCUGGUAAAUAUCUGGUAAAGAUCUGGUAAAUAUUAACAUUUCUUCAGGGUUUUAUGUGUGAUAUAGUUUAAAGGAAGAUUUCUGAUUUACAUUACAAUGAACAGUAUCAGUUAAUUAUAAAUCCUAGAAUCUGUAUUGAAAAAAUCAAUGUAUUUUUAACUGUGUGCUUUGGAGGCAAGACAAUUACACAGAAAAAUUUAUUUAGAAUUUUCAAUUAUGAAAAUAGUUUAAAAAAAAAAAAAAAGGAAGUUCUUGUGCCUGGUUUUGUUUUGUUUUAAACAGGAAAAUAUGAAUUUCAACAUUAGUGAAUAAUUUAUUAGGUUGUUUUUUUAACGUUACUUGGUAGAUAGAUAAAACACAUGCAUGAUCCAUUAAACAUCUGCUAAAUACACAGAUUUCAGUUAUCUUAAGGUACAACCUGAGCUAUACAGUCAAACUUCAACACCUUUAAAAGUAGAAAGUCACCUUUUGAACUUGUGUACAUCUGCAUCUUUGAUUAAUUGCACAUCAAUUUAAUUGCUUAGUUUAGGGUACCGUUGAGACAAUACAGAUUUAAUUUCACUUUAAAACAAUGAGAAAUUCUGAAAGCACGUUUCACACCUCACAUAUCUGAAACUAUAAGAACAAUGUCUUAUCAUGAUUAAUCCAGUAGUUACAUGCAGAAUAGCUUUGCAGAGACUGUAGCAUAUAAUCUCAGAGGUAGUGGCUGAAAUUUAAGAUUUGUUCUGGGAACUGGCAUCUUUUUUACUUUCUGUAGACAUUCUAAGGCUGAGAAGAGACUUGAGUUAGACCAUUUUUACUACAGCUGUCAGGAGUCACUUCUAUGUCUAAAGAGUCCAAAAAGCUGAGUUUCUACUCUGAAAUACUGAAUAGAAAUCCCUUAUAACAAACCUUACCAAGUAUAAUUAAAGGCAAAUUCUGCUAAUUAGUAACAAAAGUAUAUGGAUAAAUGUAUGACAGAUAAUAAUAAAAUUUCCUUUGUAAACUGUUGUUUCUCAGUAGCUAUGUCAAUUGAGAGAUGCAUUUCAUUGCAUAUGGCUUUCAUCUUAAAGGCAGAGAACAAUUUUUUGGUCAACUUCUUAAUGAAAUUGAACGAGACAUCUCUCAUAAAACUUCUAACUUCAGUAGACAUUUAGACAUUACUUUCUUCCUUGAAAAACAUGGAUGAAUGUUUUAAAGAGUUUCCAGUCAUUAAAAGGAAUGCAAUCGCAACAUUACUUUCCUAGUAACCAGACCAAUACUCAUUGUGAAUGCCUUCAUCUGUAAUAGGUCCUACUGAUUUCAGUGAAACUAUUUGAUUAGUAGAGCACGGGUGAACACAAACCAGAGUGUUAAAGUCUGUUCCAAACCUCUCUCAACAUAUUUUCAUAAACACAUUUUAGAAGCUGAUCCUUAACAACUUUAAUAUAUGUUUCCAUUUAAAUCGUUGUUGCUAGACCAAUUUAUAUAAUCUUCAGUGUAAGCACCACAGCUAAAGAUUUAAAAUGGAUGUGUACCAUAUUCAGAUUUUCUGGUUGGACAGAAAUAAUUUCAGACAAUAUAAAUUGAAUUGUUUAUUUUAUCCUCUUCGCUCACAUUAGAUUACUGUCCUGUGAAUGUGCUACUCAAAUGGACAGUGAGGAAGUCCAGAACUUUAUUGAGUACUGGGACUUGUAUAAACUGAAUCUUGCUAGAUCAUAUUGUAUAUUACAGAUGAUUCUUGUGCUAGUUUACAGAUUGCAUAAUGCACAGAGUGCUAAUUAUGUUCAAGAGCAACUUCAAAAGAAAAGAAAGUACUUAGUAUAAGAAAUAAAUCUUUUUAUUAGGUAGAAAUUAAUUGGUUUCAAAUUCUGAUCAAAUCAUGAGAUUAUAUCCAUAUUAACACAGAUUAAUUUACUGUAAUGAAUGCUAAUAGAACUAAUUAUAAUCAGGCAGUGUUGCACUGAGUGAAAAAUUUCAUAAUGGUUCCUUUCAUAUUAGUAGUACAUUAUGUGCAUUUUUCAAAAAUACAAAAAGUAAGAAUUAAGUUAAAUGUGUUUUAUGGUGAAGGUAUGUUAAAGAAAUUUGGAACCUAGUUAAUGGGAUGAAUGAACUUUUGCCCUAAUGAAAGUUGGCUUGGUACAAUCCUUCAAGCAUCUAAAACCCGUUUAUUUUUUUCUGUAAGAUCCACAUGACAUCCUAAUAUAGUGUAAAAUCUCAGAGUGUGGAAGUUCUCUUUGUGAUUUUUUGUUUUUGUUUUUGUUUCCUUGUUGUUUUUUUAUUUUAUUUUCUGACCUAUAGUCCCCAUGAUGCUUGAUGCUAAAUCAUGAAAUAAUGAAUACUGAAUUACUUACGUCUUUUUCAAUUUCCACUGAAAAUGGACUUUAAUUCAAAACUAUGUCUGGUUAAUUAAACUUUCCAUGAUCUAAUUUGAUCUAAUUAUUUCUAUAAAUUAAGAUGUAACCAGAAUUAUAUCCUAAGGUAGAACUGGGAUAUAGUUACACAUUUUUACUUAGAUGGAAGGAAGUAGAUCUUUAUCAUUCUCUCCUAUUAACUCUAACCUUGCUGGCCACUUUAAUUAAGACAGCUCUGCAAACUAAAUGAUGAACAAAGAACUAUAUUUUCAAAAUGUCAGUCAGGUUUUGUUUGUUGGCUUUGGGUUUUUUGUUUGUUUGUUUGUUUGUUGCUUUUUUAAAAAAAUGUAAUUGAUUUUUCUGUAGACAUUUGGGACACUAUUGUGUUUCCCUUUGCAUCUAUCAUGAUUGGUUUUAGCACAAUAAAAGCAAUUGAUAUGAUUCUUAUUCAAUGUCCUGUACAUAUUUGAACUCUGUUUCACUUCUGUUUAAUAAUGACACUAAAUUAUAACUUAAAUUAUUUUAUUUUUUCCUACACAGCUCUGCUUUUUUAGAAGAUUUGCUCUACUAAACCAUACACAACAUGAUUCAAACAUUUACAACAUGACUAACAUGACUACAUUCUCAAAAAAACUGGGAAAGCUCCCUGUAAAAUUAUUUUAUUUCGUCCAAAUUAAAAUCAAAUUGUGGAUCAAUUUGUUCACCAAGAAUAUUUGUUACCUUCUGAAAAUGCCUGUUACUCCUUAUUUUUUUUUUAUUAUUAUUUUUUGGCUACUUUCCCUAAGUUGUUGCUGUCCUCCUUGUGAAUUAUAGAGUGAACACUCUAUAGUAGAGAGUACUCUAGCUCAGGAAGAGAUCAGGAAUUAAAUUCUUUACUACAAACUCUCAGUAAAAAACUCAGUGUAACUGAAGAGGGAUAAUAAUGUACUCCUCUUCAUCUUGUUGAUUAUUGAUCAAUUGUUGUUUUUUUUUCCAUAAAAAGAAACCAGUCAUUUUGACAUAUUGAGGAAGCUUAAGGAAUCUUCAGAAACUGAAAUCUCUCCAAGCACAGUAUAGUAGAAAUAUUGAUCAAUGUUUGCAGUUUUUCCAACAAAAUCAUCUUGAAACACGUGCAGACACAAAAAUCCUUUCAAAAUGCAUACAAAUUAAAUGAAUAUGUAUUUGUAAUCUUCCCCAGUGACAUUCAGAAUUAUGGAUUUUAAACCAUUCCAUUAGAGUCACACCCUCUGUGGGAGAAUAAUAUAGUAGAUGUAAAGCUAAGUAGUUGAUAGCCUUUCAUAUUUUGUGUACAUAAUUGUUACUUUUUAAAUCUAAGAUUUACUUGUGAUUAGAAUUUUAAUAUCUAAAAUCCAUACAUUCUCAAAAAGUAAAUCAGCUUAAGUUUCCUUUUCUCUCAUCAUUCUACAAGUGAGGAAGAUCUCUUCUGAUUUUCUGUGACUGCACAGGAUCCUUCUCAUAUGAUUUUAUCUUAAUUUUUGAUCCUCAUACUAGCUUACUGAAAUAUUUUAUCAGUUUUAUUUAAUUAGAUCCUAAUAAAAAUCAUUUUUUCUUACUAAUUAUUCAACGCUAUAAGAAUACUUAUUACUAUGCAGUGGUAUCAUGGAAUGGAAAUGUAAAAUUUAUUUGCUUACACAAGUUUUUCUUCAUAUCUUUGAAAUAAAUUGUCUAACAGCACAAGGUGUUCAGCAUUUCUUGUGGUAUUUAGCAUCUCAUAGGCACUCUGGAAACAGCCUCCAACAGCUCUUUUCACUGGCAAGAAAAGAUGUGUUGUACCAAUUUACAUUAAAAAACAAAAAAACCCACACAAACUCAUCCAUUAGGAUUAAUUAAUACAUAACAAAUAUGAAGCAUUAAUCCAUUUUCAUAGCAUAUUUAAUUUUCAGUAGUAAUAUUCUGCUCUAAUAUUACAGGGACCUUGCUAGAAAAGAGGACAAACAAGGGUUUUGAGAGAGUGAAGACUAGAAAAUAGUCCAUAAAAUGAUCUUUCUCCAUUAAAAAAAAAAAAAAAAAAGGAGAGAGAGAGAGAGAGAGAGAGAGAGAGAGAGAGAGAAUUUGACAUGGCAAUAACAGCUACAGCAUAAGCUACCUGACCUUGCCCUUACAAUGACCCCAACCUUGACUUGUAGGGACACUCUCCCUAGGGAUGAGAGGUAUGUUAUUACAUGUUAUUUCAUUACAAGGCCCUUGCUGAGCAGAGACUGCCAAAUGGACUCAAUUAAGUGUAUCUUGUGAUGUGGAUUACUAUCUACCAGGGUGAGUUGAUACUAGCAAACAUUUUUCAUUCUCUUCAAGUUUGACUGGAUAUGAAAAGCAUGUGCGUUAGUCAUUCUAUGACACUUCACUGCAUGAUUUAUAUCUAUUUAGAAAAAUCAUAACACUCAGACUUCAGUUGUGCACUGCAAUCUUUUCUCACUCUUUGUCCUUCAGCAAGAAAUCUGUAUUCACACUCAAGGAUUAUGUAGUCAGACCUCACCUUCAUUUUUCCAAAAAGAAAUAUUACAUCAAAAUGCUGUUAUAUUCUCUGUUAUAUUCUGAUGAUCAAACUGUUGUUUAGCAUUGAGAAUAAAGUUCAAAUAUGUCACAGACAUAUUUAUUCUGAUCUCCUCUAAAAAAGUUGUAUCAGGGAUAAAAGAUUGA